rnacentral:rRNA from 1 species
UACGGAGGGGCUAGCGUUGUUCGGAAUUACUGGGCGUAAAGCGCACGUAGGCGGAUUGGUCAGUUAGAGGUGAAAUCCCGAAGCUCAACUUCGGAACUGCCUUUAAUACUGCCAGUCUAGAGUCCGGAAGAGGUAAGUGGAACUCCUAGUGUAGAGGUGGAAUUCGUAGAUAUUAGGAAGAACGACCAGUGGCGAAGGCGGCUUACUGGUCC